UACGUAGGUGGCAAGCGUUGUUCGGAAUUAUUGGGCGUAAAGGGCGCGUAGGCGGUUUGCUAAGUCAGUUGUGAAAGCCCGGGGCUCAACCCCGGAGGGUCGGCUGAUACUGGUGGACUAGAGUACGGAAGAGGUAGCUGGAAUUCCCGGUGUAGCGGUGAAAUGUGUAGAGAUCGGGAGGAACACCGGUGGCGAAGGCGGGACUCUGGGCCUACCCUGACGCUGAGGCGCGAAGGCGUGGGGAGCAAACGGGG
rnacentral:rRNA from 1 species